UGGGGAAUUUUGCGCAAUGGGGGCAACCCUGACGCAGCAACGCCGCGUGCGGGACGAAGGCCUUCGGGUUGUAAACCGCUUUCAGCAGGGACGAAUUCCGACGGUACCUGCAGAAGAAGCCCCGGCUAACUACGUGCCAGCAGCCGCGGUAAUACGUAGGGGGCGAGCGUUAUCCGGAUUCAUUGGGCGUAAAGCGCGCGUAGGCGGCGCGUCAAGCGGGACCUCUAACCCCGGGGCUCAACCCCGGGCCGGGUCCCGGACUGGCGCGCUCGAGUGCGGUAGAGGCGAGUGGAAUUCCCGGUGUAGCGGUGGAAUGCGCAGAUAUCGGGAAGAACACCGAUGGCGAAGGCAGCUCGCUGGGCCGCCACUGACGCUGAGGCGCGAAAGCUGGGGGAGCGAACAGG
rnacentral:rRNA from 1 species